UUUAUUUACUUGUUUCUUUCUUUCUCCAGUUUUCUCCCUUUCACUCUUUUUUUCUCACCUUUAGCUUUUUAAAUGUUUGGGAGUCCUUAAGGGGAAAUAUUAGAAGAGUUGGUACCCAUUGAACUGGAGUUUUUGUUUAAUAUAAUGAUGGCUUGCUAUUUGUCACUCCUAAUCUGACCCUAGACAUGGUUUCCUCUUAGAGGAAUUUGGCAUUUUGAUGGCUUGCCAUCUGUUGCUUCCAUAUGCCUGCUUCUUGAGGCUAUGCAUAAUUAAUGACUAUGACUUCUCUUUGUGUUACAGCCUGAAAGAAUAGACCCAAGUGCAUCACGACAAGGAUAUGAUGUCCGUUCUGAUGUCUGGAGUUUGGGGAUCACAUUGUACGAGUUGGCCACAGGCCGCUUUCCUUAUCCAAAGUGGAAUAGUGUAUUUGAUCAACUAACGCAAGUGGUGAAAGGAGAUCCUCCACAGCUGAGUAAUUCUGAGGAAAGGGAAUUCUCCCCAAGUUUCAUCAACUUUGUCAACUUGUGCCUUACAAAGGAUGAAUCCAAAAGGCCAAAGUAUAAAGAACUUCUGAAACAUCCCUUCAUUUUGAUGUAUGAAGAACGUACUGUAGAGGUCGCAUGCUAUGUUUGUAAAAUCCUGGAUCAAAUGCCAGCUACUCCCAGCUCUCCCAUGUAUGUCGAUUGAUAUCGCUGCUACGUCAGACUCUAGAAAAAGGGCUGAGAGGAAGCAAGACGUAAAGAAUUUUCAUCCCGUAUCACAGUGUUUUUAUUGCUCGCCCAGACACCAUGUGCAAUAAGAUUGGUGUUCGUUUCCAUCAUGUCUGUAUACUCCUGUCACCUAGAACGUGCAUCCCCGUAACACCCGAUUGAUCACACAGUGUUAGUGCUGGUCAGAGAGACCUCAUCCUGCUCUUUCGUGAUGAACAUGUUCAUGAAAUGUGGAAGUCAGUACGAUCAAUUUGUUGACUGUGAUUAGAUCACAUCUUAAAUUCAUUUUUAGACUCAAAAACCUGGAGACGCAGCUACUGGAAUGGUGUUUUGUCAGAUUUCUUAGUAUGGGAAGAAUGCGGUGAUGGAUGUACUAUGUCUGAACAUAGAGACUCAGGCUUGAGUGAGAAGAGCUUGCACAGCCAAUGAGACACAUUGCCUUCUGGAGCUGGGAGACAAAGGAGGAAUUUACUUUCUUCACCAAGUGCAAUAGAUUUACUGAUUUGAUAUUCUUUUGCUUUACAGUCACAGUCGAUGUUUGGGGAUCGAUGUGCUCAGCCAAAUUUCCUGUUUGAAAUAUGUUAAAUUAGAAUGAUUUUAUCUUUACCAAAAAUCAUGUUGCAUUCAAAGAGGUGAACAUUAAAAUAUUGAGACAGGACAGAAUGUGUUCUUUUCUCCUUUACCAGUCCUUCUACUCUUCAUGGGAAGACUCAGGAGUCUGCCACUUGUCAAAGAAGGUGCUGAUCCUAAGAAUUUUCAUUCUAAGAAUUCGGUGUGCUGCCAACUUGAUGUUCCACCUGCCACAAACCACCAGGACUGAACGAAGAAAAAAAGUACAGAGGGCCAAGUUUACAGAUGUUUUUAAUUCUAGUAUCUUAUUUGGAACAACUUGUAGCAGCUAUAUAUUUCCCCUUGGUCCCAAGCCUGAUAUUUUAGCCAUCAUAACUCACUAACAGGGAGAAGUAGCUAGUAGCGAUGUGCCUUGAUUGAUGAUUUCUUGUAGGCAGCAAAAGACCAAAUCUCAGUUGUUUGCCAUCACUGGUCCAGGUCUUCAGUUUCUGAAUCUCUUUCCCUUUCUGUGUGGUCUAUUGCCACUACGUGACUUUUGCUUAAUCCAAUCUUUUGCCUUUUUUUAAAUGUCAAAAAUCUUUAUAAUCACCAGGGAUAUUCCUUACCAAGGAUUUUUAGCCCCAAAUCUCUCAUAUGCUCUAAUGUUUAAAAGACUGAGAAGCAUGGGGCCCAGCUAAUGUGUGGUAGGUGAUGAAGAAGCAUCUUUUCUAGAGACACUUUUGACCAGAUGAGGAUCUGAUAUGCCAGUCUUCUAGCUCAUCACCUGCGAGAGUCUUUAGCAGGUCACCAUCAUUUCUUGGAAUUGGAAUGCUACACCUCCCCACCCCCGAGUGCCCAAAACCCGGAACAGAUCUGCCAUUCAAAUCUGCUCUCUUUUGCUGUGCUUCCUCACUUUCCCAUUUGGUGUCCCUCUGGCCUUCCUGGCAUUGAACAUUAGGCUUCAUAGAGCAGUUAAGCAGCACUGUGAGCGAUUCAAGCACACUGGAAUGUAAAACAGCCAUGGUCUGAGAUGCAGAUGAUGCCAUUACAGAACCAAAUGGUGGCAGGUAUUGCUGUGUCUCCUCCCGGAGUGACAGUCACAAACAAUAGAAAGUAAAGGGAGGAUGGUGCUGUUUAAAGUUAUAUCCCUGUAAGUUUCAGAAUUGAAAAGUGAUUUAUCACUCAGUCCACUUGCCUCAUUUUCCUAUUUUCUCCCCCAUGGUAACCUAAAUCUUAGACUUCCCAGUGUUCUGAAAGGAAGCAUUGCUACAUGUCUUCCUUCAACCACACCAAGCCAUCAUCCUCCAUUGCUCCCGGGGACUCAAGAGGAAUUUGUUUCUCUGCUGUCAACUUCCCAUCUGGCUCAGCUUAGGGUCACUUUGCCAUUUAACAAAUGGAGAUUAAAGCAAUUCUGACUGUCCAGGAGCUAAUGUGACCGUUCUAUUGUGUGGAAUACCACAUAAAAAGGCAAUUUUAGUGUAUUAAUCAUAGAAUAUUAUAAACUAUAAACUUAAGGGCAAGGAGUUUAUUACAAUGUAUCUUUAUUAAAACAAAAGGGUGUAUAGUGUUCACAAACUGUGAAAAUAGUGUAAGAACUGUACAUUGUGAGCUCUGGUUAUUUUUCUCUUGUACCAUAGGAAAAAAAAAUGUAUAAAAAAUAUCAAAAAGCUAAUGUGCAGGGAUAUUGCCUUAUUUGUCUGUAAAAAUGGAGCUCAGUAACAUUACUGCUUCUUGGAGCUUUGGAAUAUUUUAUCCUGUAUUCUUGUUUGAAUUCCUCCUCUAUUUAAGAUAUAUACAUGGAAUCGAAGUGUUUAUGUAAUAGUUCUAUCCUUUUGCCUGCAGGUCAGUUGUAAUAAAUCUAGGAUGUGCUGAUGACUUUGUAAUUUGAUUUUCUGAAGUCAGACCCUUAAGAGGGGAAAACCAAGUAAAUUCCAUUAAAUUAUCUGUGCAUUUCACA